GUAAUGCUUUUUCCAGAAAAAUGAAAUUGGUUGAUAAAAAGAAUUCCGUUGCCGGGACUUGAACCCGGGUCUCUCGGGUGAGAGCCGAGUAUCCUGACCAACUAGACUACAACGGAAUGUUGGUUGUUUCAAUAGGUAAAACUUACUUGUACCAUAUCCAAAGAAUUAGCCGCUGAUGAAUUGUAGUAAGUAAUGAGGGUCGAGAAUCUCAAACCCUAAUCAGCAUCGAUGAGAAUCGCAAGCACUUCUCAUCUGGUUAAUCUUCCUCAUCAAAUUACAGUUGCGGAUGUUGUGAUUGUGGUUGCUGCGAUGCGCAUUGGGGUUGUUGCUGCCUGAAUUUUUAUUGGGGCGUGAAUUUUUAUACUUUAUCUUAAGAUUUUUCAUUACAUUUAUAACUAAAUUGCCUGAUGCGAUUCCUAAUGCAGUCGGAUGCAUGAUUUUAAAUUACACUACAAUUGGAGUCCGAUGCGGUUGCGGAGGCUACCGCAUCAGCAAUAUUGUGGCGGAAAUUGCGGUCGCAGACCACAAUUUAGAACCAUGGUUGUGGUUGUGGAUGUGGAGGAGAUUGGUGUUUAAGUUGGAGGAUGGAUGACUUGCUGAUAGAUCUUUGAAACUUAUUCAAUGGGGUAGGCUUUUGAAGCAAUGAAGAGUAUUCUCUUAGAGUUAGAAGCUUUUACAAGAUAGAUUUCCAACUAUAUUUCACCUUUUUAAAAGAGGAUCAAUGGAUUGUGAGAACCGAGAACAAGCAUUAAAGUGAUUUAUCCCGAACUAUUUCAAGUGGCUAAAAACAAAGAGGCAAGCAACUGUGACUAAGACUGUAUGCUAGAGAAUGAUGGCGUCUGGAGUUUUUAUGGCUGUGGAGGAGAAUGAGGUUUAGGUGGGGUGAGGACUUGCUAUUAGAUCUUUGAAACUUAUUUGCUGUGGUAGACUUUUCAAACAAUGAAGAAUAUUCUCUUGGAGGCUUUUUCAACAUAGAUUACCAACUAGAACUCAACUUAAAGAGAUUAGGACAUUUUCCGCAUGAGUUUCCUACUUGGGAUGAGACAGCAAACUAAGCAGAGUUUGAUGAAGAGGAAGAACUGUAACUUUUGGCUCAUAUUGGAAAAAUGACACUUGGGAAAAGAAGUCAAGGAAACUUGGUAAAAGAACACCAAGCGUAUUCUUCUUGGAGUUGGUGAGGAAUCAAUGGCUGGUGAUCAUGUCUCCAAAAAAGUUUUGGUCAGUAGAAAUGUCAAAUUUGAUGAAGCUAAAAAUUUGUAAUUGGAAGGGAGAAAAAGAAGAAAAUAAGAAUGAGCAUGUUGUUUUGGGGGGACAAAGUAGAAGAUUAGGAAGCUGAGCCCGAGGAAGGUGAAGGAUAAAGCUGAUGUUGAUGCGGAACUUGAAAUUGGAAGAUCAUGUCACUUGAUAGAUUCUGCUAAUAAUUUGUCAAGUAGUGAUGCUGCUGGAAAAAAUAAGGUGUACAAACUAAGAAAGAAAUUGUAUCUUUUCAAAAAGAUGUUGAAAGGAAUCAGAACAAUGAUAUAGUACUAGAAUUCUAAGCCAAUGCCUACCCUGCUACUGAUGCACAACCUGAGAAGAUAUCAUGGUUCCGAGGUUGCCAAUUCAGAUUUGACAGAGAUGCAACCAACCAAUUUCUUGGAAACCUUUUUCAAGUUGUCUAUGAUGAACUAGAUGCAUAUGCAAGAGGAAGAUUAAUCAGCCAGAGCAGCAAAUGAGUUGGUUUUUUACCAGACAGAAACACUUAGUCUACUCUUGUCCUAACAAGAUCAAACUUAAGUAUUACUUGCGCGAUUCGACCUCAACUACAUAUUUUAAAAUCUGAUAUUUAUAUUACUAUCAUACUCAAUUUCUAAUUAGUUGUCUAUAAACAUGAGUUUGAUGCAUUUUAGAGCCUCAAAGUUAUCAUCACUUAAAGUUAAAACAAACCUGAUAUUUUGUCUUGUACACUUGAACAGCUGCUGCAUGAGCAAGGAGUAGGUGAUGUGCAACUAAAUAGGGCUCUGUCCCUGAAUCACCGCCGGUGCAGUUGAGAUUUAGCCAAUCAGAGCAUCGACCGGGCGGAAACAUCCCUAUAACAUAUCCUGCUGUUGUGUAAGUCGAUGGUUCAUUUAUAGUAAUCCAAUGUUUCACUCGA